rnacentral:rRNA from 1 species
GACGAACGCUGGCGGCGUGCUUAACACAUGCAAGUCGAACGGAAAGGCCCUGCUUUUGUGGGGUGCUCGAGUGGCGAACGGGUGAGUAACACGUGAGUAACCUGCCCUUGACUUUGGGAUAACUUCAGGAAACUGGGGCUAAUACCGGAUAGGAGCUCCUGCUGCAUGGUGGGGGUUGGAAAGUUUCGGCGGUUGGGGAUGGACUCGCGGCUUAUCAGCUUGUUGGUGGGGUAGUGGCUUACCAAGGCUUUGACGGGUAGCCGGCCUGAGAGGGUGACCGGGCACAUUGGGAGUGAGAUACGGCCCAGACGCAUACGGGAGGCAGCAGUGGGGAAUAUGGCACAAUGGGCGGAAGCCUGAUGCAGCAACGCCGCGUGGGGGAUGACGGCAUUCGGGUUGUAAAACGCGUUCGCCUGUGACGAAGCGUGAGUGACGGUAAUGGGUAAAGAAGCACCGGCUAACUACGUG